UACGAAGGGGGCUAGCGUUGUUCGGAUUUACUGGGCGUAAAGCGCACGUUAGGCGGAUCUUUAAGUCAGAGGUGAAAUCCCAAGGCUCAACCUUGGAACUGCCUUUGAUACUGGAGAUCUUGAGUCCGGGAGAGGUGAGUGGAACUGCGAGUGUAAGAGGUGAAAUUCGUAGAUAUUCGGCAAGAACACCAGUGGCGAAGGCGGGCUCACUGGCCCGGUACUGACGCUGAGGUGCGAAAGCUAGGGGGAGCAAACGGG
rnacentral:rRNA from 1 species